rnacentral:misc_RNA from 1 species
UACAAAAUGGCCGACCUUAAUAGAAGAUACAUUAAGGGGGUAAUUUUCAAAGCGCCGGCUCAUUAUCACAUAAAUUAUCGGUGAACUGACUGAACAAGGUAUUGUGAUAAACGGAACGAAAUACAGUGUGCAGAAAAGAAAUGAAUACGCGUGAAGCUUUUCGAGCGAUAAAAAUUGUUUUACAAUAACGCGCGUCACGUGCACUGAACAGGAAGCAAGGGAAACGAAAUGCAAAACACGGUUGCCACCAGUGGGCGCAGACAGAGAAGAGGUAAUCGUUUAAGCUUGGGCCUGGACAUUAUUUGAAUAAACUUCAAUAACUCAUUUUCAACAUUAUCAUUCAAAUAACGUGGUCCCCUCUUUCCAUCAGAUGAUGCUUUUUCACGUUAGAGAAAUUAUUUAUCUUAAUUGCUAUUUUACC